rnacentral:lncRNA from 1 species
CUCAUCACAAAGUGACACUUCUACAAAACUGUUCACAACUAGAAUCCAGUGCCACCAUUGGAUUCAUUGGGUUCUCCUACCCCAAAACCAUAUAUAACACUGUUGUAUGCGUGCGGAAAAACACCAGAAACGACAAAGGAAAAACUACACAAGAUCAAACUGCGCUAAUAACAAGAACAAGGGAUGUUCUUGACAUGCGAGAGUUGGCAUACUCCUCUUCUGGAAUAUUCCAGAUUUGGAAAAAAAUAAAUACAACACAACACUAAACAAACAAAAUCAUAUAAACAUCAUGGGGGUCCCACUGGUCAUACUCACCAAGGCCCCUAAUGGGUGUAUGCAAGUGGGCCAUGCCCCCACAACACACACACCCCUACUGCUGCACCACACACACAAGCAUUGUGCUCACACACACACCUAAAAGAAAAUAAAAUGGGGGUAGGGGGAAUUGAACCCUGAACCGAGGGUACCCUAUGUACAACUCCACAACACUAUGGGGACUUAACAAAGCUAUAAACUAACUCUACUCUAGUGCAACAGCAACAAGGGAAAACGAAAUAAACAAAAGGGGGCGCCGAUGGGAUUUGAUCCUUGGUCCUCAUGGUUGCUACCCUGAGCGCGCUGACUCUACUCUACUGCAACAGCAACACGGGAAAAACGAAAUAAACAAAAGGGGCGCCGAUGGGAUUUGAUCCCUGGUCCUCAUGGUUGCUACCCUGAGCGCGCUGACUAGCUGGGCUAUGGCCGACUUUGAUACACAAUCGAGAACGGCGCUAGAUGUAGCGUGUGCAACAUGAAACUACCACAAACAAAAUAAAAUAGGGGUGCCUGGGACUCGAACCAAGGAUCUCAUGGCAACGAGCGAGCGCAAUAACCAGCUGAUCUAUGAAGCAGCUAUGAUUUAAACUAGGUUUCGCAAGAGAAGAAGAUACACUGACGCUAACUGAAUAAAAACAAGAAAACGCACACAUCUGAAUCUGAACCUAUACCGGGUCACCUUGGCUGUGCUCGCCACGACGCUUGAGGAAGGCAGCCUAGGCGGCGGCUGCACGCGGAGACUCGUGUGGAGGUGCAUGUCUAGCAGGUGGUCGCCGGCGGCGGCUGGUGCGGCAAGGCUCCGGCGGACUGUGGCGCGGACACAGCGGCAACCUAUCACGGAGGAGGCGUGGACAAGGACGCGAGCUCCUUGGUGCGUGACGAGCAGGAUGGCGCGGGGCACGGCCUGGUGGCUGCGACGGUGCGGCUAGGCGACGGGUGAGGUCGGGGCGGCACGAGGUUGGGGAUCCGGCUGGGGGGGCUCCGACGGCUGCUGGUGUUCGAUCGGAGGUGGCUUGCAUUCCAGCUGUACAAAGCGAGAGAGCCAUGUGAGAAGGGGAGGAAGAAGAGAUACACAUGAGAUGGAGGAAGAGACCGAUGGCAUCUCACCUAUGGUGGUGCUUCGGCGGAGGCAGCACGGCUUCGGGCAGACCCGACGGAGCUGGGCAGCUCGUGGUCAAGCAACAGGAGGGAACAAGGGAGUGACGGCUCCUGUUCAUGGCUUCGGGAUAGAGCUCCUAUGGUUCUGCAACAGCACGAGAAGGAGAGAGAGAUUAGAGAAGAGGAGAAGAAAAGAGAGAGGAAGAAGAGAGGGACGGCGCAGGGUCAUGGCCUGGACGGGCGGCAACGCUCCUGUUGCCGGCGACGAGGCCCUCGGGGCGGCGCGACCGCGGAGGGCACGAGGGGCGGCUUGGGUCUCGUUCUGGCGAGAUAGAUCGGCUCUGUCUGUGGGGCUUCUUCUCUUGGAUGCAUACGCUCGGCUCAGGUUGGUCCGGUGGGGAAAGCGAGGAGUGGCGGCAGGCGACGGGGCAAG